rnacentral:lncRNA from 1 species
UAAGCUUCAAAAUAAGUUUAAAUUCAAAAGAUAGUGCAACUAGGCUAGUGUCAGACUUCACCAAAACAUGGGUAGCUACCUAGCCUAUCUUAUGCCAGGUCCUCUUCACCCACCGAAGAUACUUGCACUGGUGGGACCCCUGAUGGUGGAAGCCCAGGUCUGCACACCAAGCAAGGAAGAGGGAGCACAGGGAAGAGAGCUGACAGGACUGGGCCAACCGACCUUGACACUGGCCCAAAGAGCGAGCUAAGGCAACUGGGUGCGUCCCAGAGGAAGGGAGAGCCCUCACUGGAAAAGGCAGCAGAGGCAGGGAGGGAUCCUGCACAUCCACAUGCGCUGUGACACUACCCCUGACAGCCAAGCUGUGGAAACAGCCCAGAUGUCCAUCAGCAGGGAAGUGUGAAAAGCAAGCCCUGGGAGCAUGCAAAAUAGAGGUGAUCAGCACCUUCUGCCCUCAGAGGGCACCGGGCCUCACCGCAAGUAUCCAAGAAUACCCGCUCCAUUCCCGCUCCAAGCGCCUCUGUCCUCCUAGGGCUUAAAAGGGAAAAGAUGGCAAGAGUAAUUUGGUGGUUUCCAAAAUCCUUCCCCUUCCGAAACAGCCCUAAAACAAACAAAGACCGCAGCAAAUUUCUGCAAAAGAAAAUUUAGCCACCCUUCAUCCUGAAUGUAGAUUUAUUUUCAGUUUGAAUAAAAC